rnacentral:rRNA from 1 species
GAGUUUGAUUCUGGCUCAGGACGAACGCUGGCGGCAUGCCUAACACAUGCAAGUCGAACGGAGACUAUUUCGGUAGUCUUAGUGGCGAACGGGUGAGUAACGCGUGGGCAACCUGCCCUCUAGAUGGGGACAACAUCCCGAAAGGGGUGCUAAUACCGAAUGUGACGAUUUAUCCGCAUGGAUUUAUCGUGAAAGAUGGCCUCUACAUGUAAGCUAUCGCUAGAGGAUGGGCCUGCGUCUGAUUAGCUAGUUGGUGGGGUAACGGCCUACCAAGGCGACGAUCAGUAGCCGGUCUGAGAGGAUGAACGGCCACAUUGGGACUGAGACACGGCCCAGACUCCUACGGGAGGCAGCAGUGGGGAAUCUUCCGCAAUGGGCGAAAGCCUGACGGAGCAAUGCCGCGUGAGUGAUGAAGGAAUUCGUUCCGUAAAACUCUUUUGUUUAUGACGAAUGUGCAGAUUGUGAAUAAUUAUUU